UCCCCCGCGCGGCCGAAUUCAAAAGCCGGAGUACGGCGAGAGAAGCCCCAAACGGAACCCGUCACUCCGACCUGGCCGCCGUGCCGUCCGCCCAGAUCCGUUCCGCCUCCGCCUCCCGCAGCCCCGGCCGCGCCGGACCUACCCCAACUGACACACAAGCCUUCCUCCCGUUGUCCCCCCAAACCCAGGUAAAUCGCAACAGCGCCGCCGCAAUUUCAAAUCUUUCUCCCAUUCUAGGGUUUCCAUCCCGUCAAUGUCGAACCUCUAGCUCCCGAACCCCUCCCCCAUGUCCCGCUCCUUCUUCCCGACCUGCUCCUCCCACAAAGUGGAAAUGGAGGAGAUGGCCAAGGAGCUGGACACCCUUCGGGCGGAGCUGGAGUCCCGCGCCGCCGAGCACCGCGCCAACUCCGCCCUCAUCGACGGGCUGCGGCGGGAGACGGCCGACCAGGCCGCGCGCCUCCGCGACGCCAAGGCCGACGCCGAGAGGCAGUCGUUCGAGCUCGCCGCCAAGGACCACGCACUCUCCACCGCCAAGGACCUGACGGACGACCUCAACGCCAAGCUCGCGGAGAAGGAUCAGGCGUUCCGGCACCUCUGCGCGGCGCACGAGGGCCUCAAGGCAAGCCACCGGGAGACCACCAACAGCUGGGAGGCCGAGCGGCGGGGCCUCGUCGCCGCGCUGGAGGACUCCGAGCUCAAGCGGCUGGAGCAGGACGCGGCCGUCCGCUCCCGCGACGAGGAGCUCGCGCGGGUCAGGCGUCUGCUGUCAGAAAAAGAAAAGAAGUGCUCGGACGCUGAGCGGCGGGCAUCGGCGCAGAGGGAGGCCAUGGCGCGGGACGACGCGCUCGCCAGGCUGGAGGAGGAGAAGGCCGCCGUGCAGGCCAAACUCAAGUGGAAGGCGGAGCAGUUCCGGCACCUCGAGGACGCGCUCCGGAAGGUCCGCGACAACUUCAACCAAUCAGAGAAGCACUGGGGCUCGGAGAGAUCAACCCUGGUUGAUCAGAUCGCCGCCCUCGAGACCAGUCUGGACUCCAAGACCAGGGUGGCCGAGGAGUUCCGGUCGAGGCUCGAGAUGUGCAGCCAGGCGCUGGCGCACGAGGAGGGCCGCAGGAGGAACCUCGAGGCGGAGAUGGCUGAUCUCGGCCGCAAGUACGGCGAUGUGGUUUCGGAGUACGAGGAGGCCAGGUCGACGAUCGAGGUGCUAACGUCGAAGAGGGACGGCGAGAUCGCGUCUCUGAGGAGCUCGCUCGCUGAGAAGGUCACGCUGCUCAAUGAGAUGGAGUACUGUAAGGCGCGGAUGGGUCAGGAAAAUGAGGACCUGCGGGCUUCGCUCAAGGAGUACCAGGAGGCUCAGAUUGGUGGUGCAGAUGCUGUAGUGUCGUUGAAGGGUCUGCGGGAGAAAUUCCGAGCUUUGGAGCAGACGCACAGAAGCUGCACUGAGAAGCUGAGAGAUAAGGAGAAGGAGUGGAGAACACAGAUGGGAAAGCUUGGAAGUGAGCUGGAUGGAUGCUUGUCACAGCUGGGUUCCAAGGAUAUGCAGAUCAGGCAACUGCAGAAUGAGUUGCUGAGCAGUUAUAGCUCACUGGAGCUGCAAAUUGUGGAGAACUUAGAAGCCUCGAUAGUCCGUCUUGCUGUAGAGUCAAAGUUCUAUGAUUCCUGCUCAUACAUUGAUACUUCAAGACUGAAUAUGCAGCAGCGUUGUGAAAAAUUGGAGCAGAAUGUCACUGCUGCCAGAAAACAAUUGGAGGAAAAGAACUGUGUCAUUGCUCAAUCUCAAGCUGAACACGCUCACCAAUUGGAGGUAAUGGCGGAACUUCACGGAAGAAUUGAACAGCUAGAAUGUAUGCAGCAGGAGCAUGAGAAGAUGCAAAAGCAGAUUAGUGCAUACAAAGAGAUGCUCGACAAUGCGUCAAGAAAUGUUCACUGCUUAAAAGGUGAAGCUUCACAGAAGGAAAAUAACCUGCAGGAGGAAUUGGGAAAAGCAUUAAGUGAUCUCAAUGAAGCACGCCGGCAUCUUACUGAGCAGAAAAGCCAGCUGAACCAGUUUGAAACCAAUCUCCAUCAGCAAAAGCAAGCAGUGGAGCAUUUGGAGAAGCUAAAAUUUGAUUUGGAGACUGAACUCAAAGGCUAUAUGGAUGACAACCAUGUGCUGAAGAGAGAUCUGGAUGCUGCUCUUACCUCCAAAAUUGAAGUGGAGGUGUCUCUUAGAGAAGAAAAAGAGAAGUUAUUAGGUGAUCUCAAUGAAGCACGCCGUGAUCUUACAGAUCAGAAAAGCCAAGUGAGACAGUUUGAAAUCAAUCUCCAUGAGCAAAAGCAAGCAGUGGAGCACUUGGAAAAGCUAAAACUUGAUCUCGAGACUGAACUCAAGGGCUAUAUGGAUGACAACCAUGUAUUGAAGAGAGAUCUGGAUGUUGCUCUUAAUGCCAAAAUUGAAUCGGAGGUGUCUCUUAGAGAAGAAAACGAGAAGUUAUUAAGUGCUCUCAGUGAAGCAAAUUGUGCCCUUCUUGAGAGGAAGAGCGAGCUUAGCGAGAAUGAAAUCACUCUUCAUCAGCAAAAGCAAGCAGUAGAGCAUUUGGAAAAGCUGAGAGUUGACAUGGAGAAUGAACUCAAAGGCUAUGUGGACGAAAUCCAUGUACUGAAGAGGGAUCUGGAUCAUGCUCUUAACGCCAAAACUGAAGCUGAGGUGUCUUAUAGAGAAGAAAAUGAGAAGUUACUAGGUGCUCUCAAUGAAGCAAACUGUGCCCUUUCCGAGAGGAAGAGUGAGCUUAGUGAGAAUGAAAUCACUCUUCAUCAGCAAAAGCAAGCCCUACAGCAUUUGGAAAAGCUGAGAGUUGAUAUGGAGACUGAACUCAAGGGCUAUGUGGAUGAUAACCAUGUACUGAAGAGGGAUCUGGAUGCUGCGCUUAUUGCCAAAAUGGAGGCUGAGGAGAUCCAUGAAGAAGAAAAAAGGACGUUAUUAUUUGCUCUCGAUGAAGCAAACUGUGCCCUUUCUGAAAGGAAGAAUGAACUGGACCAACUCAAGCAAGCACUGGAGAAUUUGGAAAAAUUGAAUGUUGACAUGCAAGUUGAAGUCAACAGCUACAAGGAGGAAAAUUGCGCAUUAAAGAGAGAUCUGGAUGCUGCUCUUUUUGCUAGAGAAGAAAAGGAGAAGUUAUCAAGUAUGAUUGAUGAGAGAGAGAGGAACAUUGUGGAGCUUCAGCAAUACAUCAAUGUGCUGGAAGAAGAUAAUUUGGGUCAAAAACUUGAUUUAGCCAGUCUUAUCAAGUCAGAAGUUCAGAAAUCCAUACUUGACAUGAACAACAGGUACUCUGAAAUUGUUGAAAUCUUUGACAAAAAGCUUUUGGAGCUCGAAACAAGGCUUGGUUUCUUUGAGCAGAAGUACACAUGCAGAGAGCAUGAGAUCAUGGAGAUAUUUGAUCAAGAGGAAGCAGAUUGGUAUACACUAAUUGCAGAGAAGGAAAAUGCUAUUGCUGACAUUCAACUAAUUGUUGAAUCUGUUCAGCUUAACAUAAAGCAUCUUCUUGAGGCUGCCGCAUCAAAGCUCACAGAAGUUCAAGUUGAGGUCCAGCAACUUUAUGGUUUUGCAGAGAAUCUGAAUACGCUAAAUAUUGUUCAAGAGCAUGACAGUUUUUUCAAAGACACACUCAUUGCAGAGUGUGAAAGAGAGCUUGAGGACCUGCAAAUAAAAUUAGUUCUAGAGAGAGAACAGUCGAGCAAUUUGAAGCAUGUUCUUGAGAAACUCAAAGCUGAAACAACUGCAGAGAUGCUAGAGAAGGCAAAGGAGCAUCUGGAAGUAGUAAAUAAGCUGAAAUAUGCGGAGGAAAGAAAAGAAAUAUUGGAAGAGCAUUUGGGACAGUUGACGUCUAGAACAAAGGAUAUGUUAAACGUUGUUGAUCAAGAAAGGAAAGAGUUGGUUGAUGAGUUGAAUGGAAUCACCUAUACAAUUGGAGCAGCAAUUCAUGGAGAUGACGACCUGAUGGCAAGCUUGAGAAGGAUUAUGCAGAAAGCUAACAUUGAGGAACCUCCCUUGAAUUCAAGCAGCAAAGAAAUACCUAGCUUAGAGAAACAACACAUGAGAAAUCAUGGCCCACUAACCAAGAACAAAUCUGCAUCUCUCACGGAUAGAAGAUCACCAUUAAAGGAGAACAACUAUUAGUCUUGAUGAUUGGGAUAACUGGCUGCAAGGCAAUACUAAUCGUCUGAAGCUGUCUCUAUUUGGUUUUCCUGUUGUAGCUUGGGUGACAUGGUCCGGCAGGAAUGAACUUGGGGUUCUUCCAUGUUAUGGACUUGUAUUAACAAGCACCUGGAACUCAAGGUCAUGCUACAGACUCACUUUGUUGUCCUCAUUCAACUUCUGAAAUAGCAAUCUCUCCUAGCUUUUCAGAGUUCUCAGCUGGGUCACUGAUUAUGUAACCUGCAAUGCGUGACUACCUGGAGUAACAUAUGGAAUUCUAUGAAAAUGGUAGAAUGGUUUAUCCAGUAAGUCUGAUGUCUCCCAUCCUUAAAGUGGCUUCCAAGAAUCUGAUCUGAAGAUGUUCUUGAAAAACUACGGUGGCCAGACCACUGACAAGUUUCAAGAUCUCUCUAGACCGAAGCAACAAUGAUGUGAUUA